rnacentral:lncRNA from 1 species
CGUCUCUGCAGUCUCUGGGCGAAAAAAAGCAGGAGUUUUUGUGAGUGGUCAGGCAGGGAACAAUGACAGUGGAGUGCGCAUGCACGAGACGACUCCAUGUUUUUCUUUCAGUCUAUGAAUGAAUAUAACGUCGCCCAGUUGGAAUAUUAUCGCUAUUUUACGAGAAAAAUUGCAUAAAAAUAGAUUAGAAACAGCGUUUGACAUGCUUGAAAGUGCUGGGAUGGAAUAUUUUGAAUUUUUUUGUCACGAAAUGCACCCGCGCGUCACCCUUCGGAUACUGACAUGAACGCACGAACAAAACAGAGCUAUUUGGAUAUAACUAUGGAUUAUUUCGAACCAAAACAACAUUUGUUGUUGAAGUAGAAAUCCAUGGAGUGCAUUCUGACAAAGAACAGCAAAGCAUAAACCUGCUCUCCACCACCAGUACUAGGAGAUUAAUGAUGGUGAACAAGCAGAACUUCAGGUCUAGCAGCCUGGACAACCAGAUGACGGGUCUGGAACGACAAUUCCAAUCCAGACAUCCACUGCCCUUUCUGGUGGUGGACUGCUCUGUUGGCAGAAAGACUAACAGGGUAAACCACCAGAGGGGGACCGGAAUGUCAAUCAGCAACCAGGACAUCCCCUGGCCAUUCUUGUGGUGCUUUACAGCUUUCAGAAAGCCUAUCCGUCUUAAGCACCAGAGGGGGACCGCAACGAUGAUCCACAACCAUGACAUCCCGUGGUCAUUUUUAUGUUGGUUUGUAACUUGCAGGAUAAUCACAAGAUUGAAUCCACCAGACGGGGACUGUCAUGACUUGCCCUCUUGGAUGGAGAUCAAAGGUGCCGGCUAACCAAAAGUUUCAAGACCCCCCUACUCCUGGGGGAGUUGGCCAGUUUUAUGAUGGUCAUAAAUACCGUACAGGAACUCUCUCUCCCACUCUGCAGAAAUUGAAGUUUUUACAAUAGAGUGAGAUUUUGCAGUACUGUAAAAUCAAAAGGUUGGACAUUGAAACAAUAUUUCUAACGUAAAUAAUGUGGGAAAUGGUUGGUGGGACUUAAAAGAUAAUCAUAUCAAAUCAGUUGUUGUUUGUGAUAUCGUUAACUUCUAUGGGCUAGGUGGACUCUAUUCAACAGCCAGUGGAAUCGCGUGGCGCGAAAUACAAAUACCUCAAAAAUUCAAUAAUUUCAAUAUUUCAAACAUACGACUAUUUUACACCAUUUGAAAGAUAAGACUCUCGUUAAUCUAACCACAUUGUCCGAUUUCAAAAAGGCUUUACAGCGAAAGCAAAACAUUACAUUAUGUUAGGAGAGUACAUAGACACAAAUAACCACACAGCCAUUUUUCAAGCAAGCAUAUAUGUCACAAAAACCCAAAACACAGCUAAAUGCGGCACUAACCUUUGAUCUUCAUCAGAUGACAAUCCUAGGACAUUAUGUUAUACAAUACAUGCAUGUUUUGUUCAAUCAAGUUCAUAUUUAUAUCAAAAAACAGCUUUUUACAUUAGCAUGUGAUGUUCAGAACUAGCAUUCUCACCCAAAACUUCCAGUGACUCAUUACUCAUCAUAAACGUUGACAAAAUACGUAACAAUUAUUUUAAGAAUAAUAGAUACAGAACUCCUUUAUGCAAUCGCUAUGUCAGAUUUUAAAAUAGCUUUUCGGCGAAAGCACAUUUUGCAAUAUUCUGAGUACAUAGCUCAGCCAUCACGGCUAGCUAAUUUGACACCCACCAUGUUCGAGCAACCUAAACUCAGAAUUACUAUUAGAAAAAUUGGAUUACCUUUGCUGUUCUUCGUCAGAAUGCACUCCCAGGACUGCUACUUCCACAACAAAUGUUGUUUUUGUUCCAAAUAAUACAUAGUUAUAUUGAAAUAGCUCCGUUUUGUUUGUGCGUUCAGAUCACUAUACAAAAUGCGUGAGCGCAUUUCGAGACAAAAAAUGUCAAAAUGUUCCUUUACCGUACUUAGAAGCAUGUCAAAUGCUGUUUAAAAUCAAUUUUUAUGGUAUUUUUCUCGUAAAAUAGCGAUAAUAUUCCAACCGGGCGACGUUGUAUUCAUUCAAAGGCUGGAAGAAAAAAAUGUAGAAUUCUCAUGAACGCGCUUUAUCAGUGUCACUGUUCCCAGCCUGACCACUCACAAACAGAGCUGCUGUACUUCGCCCAGAGACUGCAGACACCCCAUUACACUUUCUGGCGCCUUCUGAGAGCCAAUGGAAGCCUUAGAAAAUGUCACGUUACAGCAGAGAUGCUGUAUUUUCGAUAGAGAUGCAACAGAAUGAGAACAAAUUGUCAGACAGGGCACUUCCUGUAUGGAAUCUUUUCAGGUUUUGGCCUGCCAUAUGAGGUAUGUUAUACUCACAGACACCAUUCAAACAGUUUUAGAAACUUUAGAGUGUUUUCUAUCCAAAUCGACUAAUUAUAUGCAUAUUCUCAUUUCUGGGCAAGAGUAGUAACCAGUUUAAAUCGGGUACGUUUUUUAUCCGGCCGUGCAAAUACUGCCCCCUAGCCCCAACAGGUUAACUUAGCUGACACUCGUUUAUUUUCUAAACAACAUUACAUUAGUCUAUUGUGCUCACCAGAGAUAUGGUACAUUGUAAACUUGUCUAGCUGUGAGGUUGCUAAUUUAUAUUUCAUUUUUAUUGUCAGCGCAACCUGUUAUUUAGACUAGUUUAUGGAAUAAGUUUGUCUGUGGAUGUUCCCUGUGAUGCUUGGAUGAUGAAGUUUACAUUUAUCUUUUACAAUAAAAGGUCAAAUUGA